UGGUCAAGUUAUUAAGGGUGCAGGGCGGAUGCCUUGGCACUAGGAGCCGAUGAAGGACGUGAUAAGCUGCGAUAAGCUUCGGGGAGUUGCACGUAAACUUUGAUCCGAAGAUUUCCGAAUGAGGAAACUCACUUAGAGUAAUGUCUAAGUAUCAUUAAGUGAAUACAUAGCUUAAUGAGGGGAACUCAGGGAACUGAAACAUCUAAGUACCUGAAGGAAGAGAAAGAAAUUCGAUUCCGUAAGUAGCGGCGAGCGAACGCGGAUUAGCCCAAACCAAUAAAGUUUUCUUUAUUGGGGUUGCGGACAUAUCAUAACGAAGAGGUAUCGUAAUUGAAGAGGUUUGGAAAGACCCACCACAGAAGGUAAUAGUCCUGUAUGUUAAACGAGAAGACUUCAGAUAUGAUCCAGAGUACCACGGGACACGUGAAACCCUGUGGGAAGCAGGAGGGACCACCCUCCAAGGCUAAAUACUACCUAGUGACCGAUAGCGUAUAGUACCGUGAGGGAAAGGUGAAAAGAACCCCGGGAGGGGAGUGAAAUAGAACCUGAAACCCUGCACUUACAAGCUGUGGAAGCACAUUUCUUGUGUGACCGCGUACUUUUUGUAGAACGGGCCAACGAGUUACGUUAAGUAGCAAGGUUAAGCACUUAAGGUGUGGAGCCGUAGCGAAAGCGAGUUUUAACUGAGCGUUCAGUUACUUGACGUAGACCCGAAACCGGGCGACCUACCCAUGAGCAGGAUGAAGCGAAAGUAAAAUUUCGUGGAGGUCCGAACCCACGAGCGUUGAAAAGCUCGGGGAUGACUUGUGGGUAGCGGUGAAAUUCCAAUCGAGCCCGGAGAUAGCUGGUUCUCCCCGAAAUAGCUUUAGGGCUAGCCUCAAGGUGAGAGAUACGGAGGUAGAGCACUGAAUGUCCUAGGGGGUAUUGCACCUACCGAAGACUAUCAAACUCCGAAUGCCGUCAUCUUAUACUUGGGAGUCAGACUGUGGGUGAUAAGAUUCAUAGUCGAAAGGGCAACAGCCCAGAUCGUCAGCUAAGGUCCCUAAAUGUAAGUUAAGUGGUAAAGGAUGUGGGAUUGCACAGACAACCAGGAUGUUGGCUUAGAAGCAGCCACUCAUUCAAAGAGUGCGUAAUAGCUCACUGGUCGAGUGAUCCUGCGCCGAAGAUUUCCGGGGCUAAAACUUACUACCGAAGCUACGGCAUCAGUAAUGAUGGGUAGGGGAGCUUCCCAUACGGGUUGAAGCAUGACCGUAAGGACAUGUGGACAGUAUGGGAGUGAGAAUGUUGGCAUGAGUAGCGAGAUGUGGGUGAGAAUCCCACAGGCCGUAAACCCAAGGUUUCCAGGGGAAGGUUCGUCCGCCCUGGGUUAGUCGGGACCUAAGCUGAGGCCGAAAGGCGUAGGUGAUGGACAACAGGUUGAUAUUCCUGUACUACCGAUAACCGUUUGAGAGAAGGGAUGACACAGUAGGAUAAGCUAAGCACACUGUUGGUUAUGUGUGCCCAAGCAUUGAGGCAGUCAAAGUAGGCAAAUCCGCUUUGAUAAUGCUGGGAUGUGAUGGGGAGCGAAAUUUAGUAGCGAAGUAGCUGAUUUCACACUGUCAAGAAAAGUCUCUAUCGAGGUUAAAGGUACCCGUACCGCAAACCGACACAGGUGGGUGAGGAGAGUAUCCUAAGGCCAGCGAGAGAACUGUUGUUAAGGAACUCGGCAAAAUGACCCCGUAACUUAGGGAUAAGGGGUGCCACCAUCAGGUGGCCGCAGAGAAUAGGCCCAAGCGACUGUUUACCAAAAACAUAGGUUUCUGCUAAGUCGCAAGACGAUGUAUAGGAGCUGACGCCUGCCCGGUGCUGGAAGGUUAAGGGGAUCUGUUAGAGCAAUCGAAGCAGUGAACUUAAGCCCCAGUAAACGGCGGCCGUAACUAUAACGGUCCUAAGGUAGCGAAAUUCCUUGUCGGGUAAGUUCCGACCCGCACGAAAGGCGUAACGAUUUGGGCACUGUCUCAACAACAGACUCGGUGAAAUUGUAAUUCCGGUGAAGAUGCCGGAUACCUGCGACAGGACGGAAAGACCCCAUGGAGCUUUACUGUAGCUUGACAUUGGGUUUUGGUACUACAUGUACAGGAUAGGUGGGAGGCUUUGAAACCAGGACGCCAGUUUUGGCGGAGCCAUCCUUGGGAUACCACCCUUGUAGUACUGGGACUCUAACCAUAGGCCAUGAAUCUGGUCUUGGGACACUGUCAGGUGGGCAGUUUGACUGGGGCGGUCGCCUCCCAAAAGGUAACGGAGGCGCUCAAAGGUUCUCUCAGUACGGUCGGAAAUCGUACGUAGAGUGUAAAGGCAAAAGAGAGCUUGAUUGCAAGACAUACAGGUCGAGCAAGGAUGAAAAUCGGACUUAGUGAUCCGGUGGUUCUGCGUGGAAGGGCCAUCGCUCAACGGAUAAAAGCUACCCUGGGGAUAACAGGCUUAUCUCCCCCAAGAGUCCACAUCGACGGGGAGGUUUGGCACCUCGAUGUCGGCUCAUCACAUCCUGGGGCUGUAGUAGGUCCCAAGGGUUGGGCUGUUCGCCCAUUAAAGUGGUACGCGAGCUGGGUUCAGAACGUCGUGAGACAGUUCGGUCCCUAUCCGUCGCAGGCGUAGGAAAUUUGAGAAGACCUGUCCUUAGUACGAGAGGACCGGGAUGGACGUACCUCUGGUGUACCAGUUGUUCUGCCAAGGGCAUGGCUGGGUAGCUAUGUACGGAAUGGAUAAGCGCUGAAAGCAUCUAAGCGCGAAGCCAACUUCAAGAUAAGAUUUCCCACCGUAAGGGUAAGACCCCAGAAAGACUAUCUGGUUGAUAGGUCGAAGGUGUAAGUGCAGCAAUGUAUUUAGCUUAUCGAUACUAAUAGGUCGAGGACUUGACCAAUAUUAUUUGAUGUUCACUU
rnacentral:rRNA from 1 species